ensembl:lncRNA
CGCCUAUUGGGUAAACUCUGACGAAUCAGGAGCAAGCUCAUGUAGCUAGUCCUUUCAAAUUACCGAGUUUCCUCGUUUGACUUUUCGACAUCAAAAAUUGUGUGUGUUAGAUCGCAAAUCACCGUUUGUUCGAAUAAUGUGACUUAAUCUCGGCUGGAAGACACAACGAUAAACUCGACCACCUUUACGGAACUAGAAGGUCUGCUUUCUUCAACGCAAUAACGCAUAGAAGACAAGGAUUUGAAAAGAAGAGAAAAAAUAACGUCCGUUUGUAUGAAAGCCCUCUAACAUGGCCAAUCUGACGGCUACACUUGGAGCGCCUAGCUACGACCCAACGGAGAACGAGGACCGCGAGAACAUCCCUCCUCCUGCCGACUCCGCCCCCAGGCCGUCGAGGGAGCCCAAUCAGAACGUUCCUGAUGAGCGUGUAGUCCCGCUUUACAGAGAAGUCGUGGACAAAUGGCACAACACCAUGAAGAACCUUGGCCAGAGUCCUCUCAGUUCGCCAGACAUAGGGGACGAGGCGCUCCCUGAGCUCAGCAUGCUGGACACCACGGCGGAGACCUCUCACCUGUCUCUCGCCAAAACGAGGAGUCCUGCUGCUGCUUCCCUCUCGUCCACGCCCAGAUACUCCAGAGAGAUGGACAAAUGGCACAACACCAUGGCGAACCACGGCCAGAGUCCUCUCGGGUCGCCAGACAUAGGGGACGAGAUGCUCCCUGAGCUCAGCAUGCUGGACACCACGGCGGAGACCUCCCACUUGUCUCUCGCCAAAACGAGGAGUCCUGCUGCUGCUUCCCACUCGUCCACGCCCAGAUACUCCAGAGAGAUGGAAUCCGGCCUUACGCCCGGUUUCAAAAGCUUUAACCUGCCGGGCAACAACUCCAGGAAGGGCCUGACACCCGGCCCGGCCAGGCAUGGGCUGACGGCUAUUCACAACAUGCCGCACCUUAACCAGGAGUUGUUCACCACAGAGUAUCACAAACUGAGGGAGAGCCUGGGUCGGCUUCCCGCCGGACCGGACAGCUUGGCUCCGGCCGGGUGGCCUUGCUUCUGGCUGCAGGACGAGACCCUCCCAGAGGUCAGCUUGAUGGACUCCACCAUGGAGUGUUCUAACCUCUCCACCAAUGGGGCCGCUCCCUCCUUCGUGCCCCCGGUUCCUGAACGGCACCUUGCUGUGACGCCUAAAGUGGAGGAGGAGCCCAGCCCAGGCUCCAUGUUGAGUCUGGUCACGGAUAAGAGUUUAGUUCUCACUCCUCGCCUCCUAGCCUCCACAGGGCAGCAGAGCCUCGGAGAAAGUCGCUUAAUGGACCACAGCAGUCUCCACACACUGGAGAUGACGAAAGCUGAGGUUGUCCAGAACUCAGUGGAAAGCUCUUCCUGUCCUGAAUCCGAUGUCACCCGCGAAUCCAUCCUUCCCCAUGGGGUAGUGGUUCUGGGAGCUGAGGUUGUCCAGAGCUCACUGGAAACAUCCUCCAUCCCCGAAUCUGAUGUAACCUGUGAAUCCAUCCUUCCCCAUGGGGAAAUGGCUCUGGGUUCUCCAUCGCUGUGCUCCGCUUCUGCUUCCCAAUUCCCUGACAGGACAACUCUGGUCCUAGCAUUGGACCACCCGAGGCAGCCCGAGCUCAACACCACCCAGGUCCUCAACACCACCCAGGUGCUCAGCGAGAAUGCGGUGGAGGUGGCAAGCAAUGACAGCAAUGGGUCCGCCCCGCGCUCUGGGAACGACACCUACUUCAGUCCACCUAGUGACUCCUCGAUGAACAGCAAUGUCACUAUGGAGGCCAUCGACUCCUCAGGGGUCAAGUGCCACCUAAGUUUGCCGCUCAACAAGCAGCUGUCGGACCCGUUUCCAUUAGACCCAGUGCAGUGGUCUCACUGGGCGAUGCCUGCUCAGGUGUCAAACUCGAGGACACCUUUAAGAGCAUCUCUUCUCCAACCCUAGGUCCCCAAGGAUGUAGUCAAGACAACCAGAGCGUCGGCCAAGACAACCAGAGCGUCGGCCAAGACAACCAGAGCGUCGGCCAAGACAACCAGAGCGUCGGCCAAGACAACCAGAGCGUCGGCCAAGACAACCAGAGCGUCGGCCAAGACAACCAGAGCGUCGGCCAAGACAACCAGAGUGGUAGGCAAGACAACCAGAGCGUCUACCAAGACAACCUGAGCGGAAGUCACUUUGAAGCCCAACCCAGAGCGUUAUCAACUGCCCCUCACAAUGGGUCCAAUAAUAACCUGGUUGUGGCGCUGGACCUGCGGUCCGAGGUCAACACCACCCAUGGGUCCAGCGGGUCAACGGCCGACAGGGCGAGCAGCACCAUGACCUUCUCCUCACAGGACGCCUCCAGACCUCUGUCCCCAGCACCCAGCGCCACAAAGAGUGACGAGAAUUCACUGAGAUGCCACACGCUGGCAUGCACACCUGUUUAUAAAUGCAGUGCCGACCUCAACUUUGAUGACACAUUCGAGAGAGCUUCUCCUCCCAAGGCAAGUGCCCUGAACUGUCAAGCCAAUCAGACAGCUGGAUGUUUGGUCACCUCCACGCCCAUGUCGGACUGGAAAGUCUAUGUGCCCACGAGCCAGACCUCACAGGUGCAGAAGAGGCGGUACUCUGACGGUCCAUCUAAGCCCCUCCCACAGACAAGCAGCCCUGCCGCCAGUGCGGACCAUGUGGCCGCCAGUGCGGACCAUGUGGCCGCCAGUGCGGACCAUGUGGCCGCCAGUGCGGACCAUGUGGCCGCCCCGGAUGUUCGCUCGCUCCUGCCAAACCUGGGUCCUGCCCGAGCCAUACCCCGCAGUCUCCGGUACAAUUCCGCCCCUGGUGGCACGGGGCGGCGCCUCAGCCCCCCCCCUACAGGGAGGAGAGUGUCAGCCAUGGCUCCGCCCCUUAAACAGAGCAAACCAAAGAACAGCAUACCAGACACCACCAGCACAACCAGUAUACCCAGCACCACUGAUAUAUCGAACACCACCAGCCUCUGCCGUGCACCACCAGGCCUCAAACCGCCAAGGAGAGUCCUCCAUAAACCGGCUGCAACGGGCAUCCCAGCGACCAAUCGGAGGACUCUACCAGGUCUCAGACCGCCUACUGCACGACUUGCCACUGCAGCCUUGUCCAAUGAUAAGCCUGGUCCAUCCUCAGACAGUCGCCGUGAGUCGCUGAGCCAGGCCAAGAGGAGCUUGCUGCCCGGGAGUGAAGCUCAGGGGCUGGCCAAGAGACGGAGGACAGGUGGGUUGGGGGAGUUUAGAGCUCACCUGCCUUUCACCCAGUGGUCCCCUAGCCAAUCAGCGCUAUGUUUGAGCUGCUACUCAUCACUAUGUUUGAGCCGCUACUCAUCACUUUGUUUGAGCUGCUAUAAACCACUUAGUUUGAGCUACUACUCAUUACUUAGUGUGAGCUAGUACUCAUCCCUUAGUUUGAACUACUACUCAUUACUUAGUUUCAGCUACUUCUCAUCACUUUGAGCUACUACACACCACUUAGUUUCAGCUACUACUCAUCACCUAGUGUCAGCUACUACUCAUCACUUAGGUUGCCGUGACGUUUCCUUGGACAUAUCAUUCAUUAGGGGUCCUACGAAAAAACGUAGGAACCUAUGUAGGAAUAUUAUUAUUUUCCUGACUUUUCGGAUCGAAAGUUAUAAAAAUUGGCAGGCUUGUAGAACUUGUAAAAUGUGUAAGGGAAUCAAAAAAUGGGCAACACAUAGGUGGUGCUAUAACAAGGCCUGGAAGUUCAGCCUUUGAAAAGGCUGCCAUUACCACUAGCAAGGUACAAUAUGCAUGAAACUCAGUAUACAUGCACCAUUCGUCAUGAAGAACAACUUUCAAUCACAACCCAUAUGGUCAGACCAUUUGGAUAUUGCGCAUUGACCACAACUUGACCAAAGGCCAACUCUCAAACAGAUUUGGGGCCGGAGGUGGUAAAAGCCGCAAACUCUGUGGGAGUGACUGUGUGGGACUAUGGUGAUGAAUUCAUAGUAAUAAGGCCGAAGGCGGCAGAGAUAUACAUUUUUAAGUGAAAUCGAUGGAUAUCUCCGAUGUUUAAAGUGGUGUAACAUUGCGUCAAGAACACGUAGGCUCGGCUGUCAAAUAUGGCUACUAAGAGUUGAUUCCAUAGUAUACCUUUGCCAAAUUUCUGAAAAGAGACUGAAAAGAGACUGGGCAACGGUCUUCAAUGGUCUACAGUUAUUAACCCAUACACAGUCCCAUGGAACAAGGAGAAACCAGAGCCAUACACAGUAAUUCAACUAAAGAAAUUACAACUUGAUGCAGGCUGUUGGACUAGCAGGCUGUAUGAGGUUUCCAUCUCCACAGCUGAGCGUAUCUGUGGGACUCUCGUUUCUUCAUUUCUCAUGGUACUGCACCAGUUACAUUCCUCACACAAUUAUAUGGUUAAAAUAAUAAUCUGACAGUAUUUACUUGCAUGUUCUUCUAACCACCACUAAAGUACACAUCUGCUUCCAGGUCAUCUGUGCAUACUGUUGCUCACAAUGAAAGGCUCUUGUUCCUUGUCCACUGACCUUAAAACAAACAAUGUCUGUACCGGUUGUGGUUGUGCUCUGCUUUCUGCCCUGUAUAUAAUGAUUCAUGUCUGCCACUCAACUAAAUCGUUAAGGCAGUCCUGAUUCCGUCUCUUCAUGAACUCUGCUCUUUUCUGAUGUAUUAACUGUGGCUUCAUGUGGCCCCACACAGGCUAAAUAUGGCUCGGUUAGCGAACGCUACAGAAUUCUCAAUAUAAUAUCAGUUGAAGCAGAUGCACCAACUAGAAUAAGCUGGGGUCCCAAAGGUUUCAGACACUACUGUUGGUUCAUGUGUUGGUAACUGCCUUAUUAGUUACCAUUUAACCCCCAUGAUGUGUAGAGAUGGUCCUGAUACAUACUGUUGUUUCAGUAUGUACCCCCACAGGUGUUCCAGGACCUUCUACCACCAUGGAGGCCUCCGUUCUGUCUCUGGAGCCCACCAGGGGGGCCUGUGGCCUGAGGGCUCCUCCCCCAAGAACCUGCAAGACCCCAGCACUGGCUGGGUGUUCAAACUGUGCCCUGCUGAACAAGGAGCUGGAGAAGAAUCGUGCGGUGAUAAGAGGACUGCAGAAAGUACUGGAUGGCUUCGUCACCCCAGCAUCAUAACCAGGACCCAUUGGCAGAGACGACAGCGGCACAACAUUGAAAAUAUUCAUCCCAGCAUCCUAACCAGGACCCGUUGGCAGAGACGGCAGCACAACAUUGAUAAUAUGUAAAUUAAUAAAAAUAACAAGAAUAUGUAAAAGAAAUAAAAAUAACUAAUAGUUUUUUUUGAAAUGUUUCUAGAUUUGUUUAUUCUACAGUUGCUAUGCAC